UACGGGAGGCAGCAGUGAGGAAUAUUGGUCAAUGGUCGGAAGACUGAACCAGCCAUGCCGCGUGCAGGAAGAAUGCCUUAUGGGUUGUAAACUGCUUUAUAUGGGAAGAAUAAGGUGUACGAGUACAUUGAUGACGGUACCAUAUGAAUAAGCAUCGGCUAACUCCGUGCCAGCAGCCGCGGUAAU
rnacentral:rRNA from 1 species